GACGAACGCUGGCGGCGUGCUUAACACAUGCAAGUCGAACGGAAAGGCCCUGCUUUUGUGGGGUGCUCGAGUGGCGAACGGGUGAGUAACACGUGAGUAACCUGCCCUUGACUUUGGGAUAACUUCAGGAAACUGGGGCUAAUACCGGAUAGGAGCUCCUGCUGCAUGGUGGGGGUUGGAAAGUUUCGGCGGUUGGGGAUGGACUCGCGGCUUAUCAGCUUGUUGGUGGGGUAGUGGCUUACCAAGGCUUUGACGGGUAGCCUGCCUGAGAGGGUGACCGGCCACAUUGGGACUGAGAUACGGCCCAGACUGCUACGGGAGGCAGCAGUGGGGAAUAUUGCACAAUGGGCGGAAGCCUGAUGCAGCAACGCCGCGUGCGGGAUGACGGCCUUCGGGUUGUAAACCGCUUUCGCCUGUGACGAAGCGUGAGUGACGGUAAUGGGUAAAGAAGCACCGGCUAACUACGUG
rnacentral:rRNA from 1 species